GCGCUCGGUGGCGCAGUGGGCGGCAGCACGGGCGCGGUUAUUGGCGGUGCGGUGGGCGGUGGCGCCGGCGGUGCAGUGACGUCGAAUCGCCGCGAGCGCAC
rnacentral:tRNA from 1 species